AACGAACGCUGGCGGCAUGCCUAACACAUGCAAGUCGAACGAGACCUUCGGGUCUAGUGGCGCACGGGUGCGUCACGCGUGGGAACCUGCCCUUAGGUUCGGAAUAACUCCCCGAAAGGGGUGCUAAUACCGGAUAAUGUCUUCGGACCAAAGAUUUAUCGCCUUUGGUUGGGCCCGCGUUGGAUUAGCUAGUUGGUAGGGUAAAAGCCUACCAAGGCGACGAUCCAUAGCUGGGCUGAGAGGAUGAUCAGCCACACUGGGACUGAGACACGGCCCAGACUCCUACGGGAAGCAGCAGUGGGGAAUAUUGGACAAUGGGCGAAAGCCUGAUCCAGCAAGGCCGCGUGAGUGAUGAAGGCCUUAGGGUUGUAAAGCUCUUUUAACCGGGAUGAUAAUGACAGUACCGGGAGAAUAAGCUCCGGCUAACUCCGUG
rnacentral:rRNA from 1 species